rnacentral:ncRNA from 1 species
GACUCUAGUUGGGCACUGUGGAGACAUCAGAGGUGUAGAUUGAACAGGAUACCCUGCAGCUGCUCAGCUCAGGCCAAGGUCCAGUUGCCAAUGAAAUACUACUGGUCAUUUUUUACACCUACCCAGUGAGGUAUGUGGUGGGGCAAGCCCUGAAUGGCUCUCACUUCUGAUGCCAAGUGCCUGGCACAAUCUGUGCCAGGGGCAGCAUCAGGUGGGGAGACGGAUGGGGACGGUACACAUUAGACCUUAACACAGGUGUCCUGAGGUGAGCUCAGGGAAGACAGAAACCUCCUCAGUACAAAUAUCACCCAUGAAAGCAGGGGCUCAUGAUCGUUCUGAAUUUUCGUGGUUUAAGCAGGCAUCCAGAA